GCUCAAUGAUGACGUAAAGGCUAAUGUGACUUGACCAGCUGGGUUGCAACCUCAGCCCAUUCCGGUAAUAUGAGUCUGUAAUCUUGGUGGACAAUGCAGAGCAGUGCGCGUUCGCUGUAAGGGCAGACCGACAGAAAACCCUCUUCCCCGUGUCCCUGGAAAAUACAUCUUUGGGAUGCAUCAGCUCAGAGUGAGUGUUUCUAUGAGCUGAGGAGGGGUUGUGGGGAUAGGAUAGGACGGUGCUUCCAAGGUCUGGGUUGCAGGGGGCAGCCCAUGUUGCAGCUGGUGAGAUGUGAGCACACAUCUUUGGUAAUCUGAUGACU
rnacentral:snoRNA from 1 species